rnacentral:tRNA from 1 species
CGCGGGAUGGAGCAGUUGGUAGCUCGUCGGGCUCAUAACCCGAAGGUCGUAGGUUCAAGUCCUACUCCCGCUACAA